AAGCUUCGGAGAAUUCUCUGGACUACAGCAAAACGCCCAGGGCUCUCGAGCAGCCUUCGCCCUCGCCUCAAACCCACCUGCACGCCUUCGGGCCGAUCCAUUCCGGGGUCCCCGCGCCGCCCACCCCCCCGUGCCUCGGUUCCGUCCACUCGGACACAAAGCGGACACACAGCGAAGAGCCGCGGGGCUCCCGGCUCCCCCCACCCCCCUCCGCACACCCCGGUGCCUUUCCCCGGCUGGAGCAGAGCGGUGCCGCCGCUCCCGCCCGCCACGAGGCCGGCGCGGUGCUGCCCCCUUCCUGCCCUCGCGGCGGGGCCCCGCGGGAGCCGUUAUGAAAGCGGAGCGCCGGGGCCGGCCGCGCGCCCCUCUCCCCGCCCGCCGUACCUCGGACACCUCCUCUUCUUCCUCCUCCUCCUCAUCGUCCUCUUCCUCCUCCUCCUCGCUGCCGUUGUUGCUGCUCUCGCUGCCGCCUCCGCCGCUCUCGCUGCUGCUGGCCGUUCGGCCGGCCCGCCCGCCUCGCUUCGCCUUGCCCGGCGCCUUCUUCUUCAGCAGCAGGUCGCACACUCGAACCAGCCCCCGCGGAGCCGCCGCCGCCGCCGCAGCCGCCCCGGCCGAGCACGACGGCGGCGAGGAGCCGGCCCCGCCGCUCAGCCCUUCCGGGGGACCGGGCCCCGCCGUGGCGCUACCGGCGUCGCCGCCGCCGCCGCCUCCCUCGGCCGCCUUGUCCAUGGCCGCCCACGCCGAUCCGCCCCGGUGAGGAAGGAGGAGGCACCCGGGGCCGCCGCCGCCGCCGCCUCGGUCACCUCUAGAGCCGGCGCCGCGCCACCUCUCGCGAUACUUGUCGCCGCCGUUCGCCCGCCUGCUCCCGGCGCCGCAACGUCCGCUCCCUCCCGCCCCCCGCUCGGCCGCCGCUCCGGCCUCAGCCGCCGCUCGGCUCAAGCGGCCUCGAGCGUCGCCGCCCGCCCCCCCGCGCUCGCCCCGUGGCGGAUCCCUCCUGGCCGCGACCCCUUCCGUGCGCGCCGCGCUCACCGCCCCGGCUCCGGAAGCGCUUGGAACGUCAUCACCGGCGCCGGGCGGCCGUUUCCGCCCUUUCGCCUCGGCUCGCGGCCGCGUUCGCCCCGCCCUCCUUCCCUCCCUCCCUCCGGUGCGGCCCGUCUCGCGCCUCGGCCCUUCGGUUGGCGGCCGCCGUUGGUGCGCGAGGCGGCGCGGGCCACGUUCCCGUCGCCUUUUGCCUUCGGUAAUUCCCCCACCCGUACUAAAAACGACGAGCGAGCCGCAGCGCGCAGUGCCGCCCGAGCUGAACGAGGCAGCCGCCCCGGUUCUGCUGCGCCGCCGAGUCCGUCGUGUCGUUAA
rnacentral:lncRNA from 1 species